GUACUUUGAAGAGCAUAGGAUUCCAGACUGAAGCAUCGAUCCUGACGGUGUUACUACACUUGUGACUGCUGGUAAUAUCAUGUGGUGAGCAUGCUUAAGUUCACACAUCCCUCACCACGCUGACGGUACCACUCACUCACUGACAAAACAAAACCAUCACCUCCCUUUCUCUCUCUUCACUUUCCUCCUCCUUCAGUGCCAUCCAUAAUUCCAUAUCUUCCCUUGCUUCUUAACACCAACUAAAGUAAGCCCACCUAACUCAUCCUUCCCAUCUCCAUCUCCAAAAAUGGCCGACGAAAUCCCCAUAACACCACCAUCUGACCUAGCGCCGCCGACACCGCCCCCUGCCGCUUCUGAGCCUGAAGCACCGGCUUUGACGAAACCAGAGUCUAAGGAAGACGCACCCCCACCACCACCAUCGCUGUUAGAAGUGACAGAGUCUGAGAAAGAAGAGGCACUUGCAGUACCACCAGUUGCGGCGGCGGCGGCGGCAGUGGUGGAGUCUGAGCCGGUGAAAGAAGAGGCGGAGAAAAAGCAGAUUCCUCGAUCUUUGAUUUCGUUCAAGGAGGAGAGUAACGUAGUGUCCGAUCUCUCAGAUUCAGAGAGAAAAGCUCUUCAAGAACUGAAGCAGCUCGUCCAGGAAGCUCUCA
rnacentral:lncRNA from 1 species